AACGAACGCUGGCGGCAGGCUUAACACAUGCAAGUCGAGCGCAUCCUUCGGGGUGAGCGGCGGACGGGUGAGUAACGCGUGGGAACGUGCCCUCUUCUACGGAAUAGCCUCGGGAAACUGAGAGUAAUGCCGUAUACGCCUGCAAGGGGAAAGAUUUAUCGGAGGAGGAUCGGCCCGCGUUGGAUUAGGUAGUUGGUGGGGUAACGGCCUACCAAGCCGACGAUCCAUAGCUGGUUUGAGAGGAUGAUCAGCCACACUGGGACUGAGACACGGCCCAGACUCCUACGGGAGGCAGCAGUGGGGAAUCUUGGACAAUGGGGGCAACCCUGAUCCAGCCAUGCCGCGUGAUCGAUGAAGGCCUUAGGGUUGUAAAGAUCUUUCAGCUGGGAAGAUAAUGACGGUACCAGCAGAAGAAGCCCCGGCUAACUCCGUG
rnacentral:rRNA from 1 species